rfam:Triticum aestivum genome assembly, contig: Triticum_aestivum_CS42_TGACv1_scaffold_578935_7BL
CAACUACUCCCUCCGUUCGGAAUUACUUGUCGCAAAAGUGGAUGUAUCUAGAACUAAAAUACGUCUAGAUACAUCUAUUUCUAUGACAAGUAAUUCCGAACGGAGGGAGUAGUAG